UGUAUGUCUGCAUUUUACUCCAUUUCCUCUGCGUUUAAUGCACUGUGUUUUUAUAGACAUCAGAGGAUUCGUUCCCUUCAACACACCCAUCAAGGAAUUAAUCCCAGCCCAAAUAAAUUACCCUUUCUAUCUAAAAUUCUUUUUCGAUUUGAAUUCCCCCAAAUUAGAAUUCCCGUUAGAAAAAGUAUCACUCCCAUUAACCGCCUCACUUUCUAGUCUCGACUUCUCCGGCUGCGACGACGCCUCCGAUUCCGGCUGCUCAUCGUGGCUCCAGGCGCCGCCGACGUCGAAGCAAUCUCCGUUCCCAGCGGCGCGUUACUGAGUGGUAGUGUUGGGGGCGAAGUUGUAGUUUGUGAUAAUGCGUGCAAAUUAAGCUACAAAAAAUGGGUGUAGGUGAUUAGGUGUAUUAUGGAGUUUUAAUUUGUUAAAUUUCUUGGCGGUAUUGUCCUUUUCCUUGUUUAUUUGUAUUUUCCUGCUAUUUUGUGUUCCUUUUUGGAAUUUCACUGUCUUUGUUGCAUGUCAGUGUUUAUUUAAAUCGACGAGGCGGGAUACACGUCACCGUCGACCUCCUCACGGACUCACCGUCUGAUUUCGGUGCCGCCGAUUCUCUCCGAGCGGCUCUCCAGAAUCCACCAAGCAGUCGUUGCAGCGGUGGACUGCCGUGGACUUCUCGGCCUAACUAAGUUGUUUCCAUUAACUUUCCAGUUUAUAAAUUUUAUCUUCCGGUUUGGCUAGAUAUGUUAGGGAGUUAGAUCUGGGUCAUGAUAUAUGGGUUCCCAUCUUGAUUUGUGAAGCUAUUAAACUUAUUGUGAUGUCCAAACAUUCUUGGGUUGAAAGAGCAGGUCAUCGCUUGUUUAUUUGUAGAUUGGUGUUAUUCCUUUGAGCAUUUAUCUUAGAAUUUGGUCUCAGCCAUUUUGCAAGCUAGACCCACUGACUGACUUUAUUUCUCUCUCGAUUUUGAUGGUGAAACAGUUGUGUGAUGCUGGAACUGUAGUUUGUUGGGAACUCUGCAGAGGUCAAAUCUUCAAUUUCUUGGCUUGUUGUAUUAGGGAUGUACUCGUAGAAAUUAAUAGGGUUGUUCUAAAUGUUACUGUUUAUGUUACAGAUAUUGUUAUUGGUAUUUAUACUUCGGAAUGCACAUGUUGGAAUUACAUGAUUAUUGCAGGUUGACAUGGAAAAAUAUGCAAGGAAUCUUCCUCGUCACCUUAUUGCAGUGAUUAUAGAUUGGGAAAUGGACAAAUCCACAUUCAAGUAUUUGCUAUGUGGAAUUCUUCUCUUGCAUUCCAUGAUUCAUCUUGCCUCUCGAGUGCCCAAAAUUGAACAGAUAUUGCUUGAUGAUGUGAAGAUAUCAGAGCAACUGAUUGACCUGGUCUUCAAUCUGCUAGUUCUACUUGGUCCAUACAGACAUGAAUCUCACACCAUACCCAAUGGCAUGGUUCUUCUUCAUUCGGCUCUGGUAGUUUGUAUUAUAAAAUUGUUUCUCCACGCUACCAAGAGGUUGCUCAAGCAUUGAAUGCAUAUUACAAGGUAGCAAUCCAGGAUUUGGUGAAAACUAAGAACAUUAAAUUACUUGUUUAAUGGUGUACAUAUUCAUAGAGGCAGAAUUUGCUGCUGUUUGUGUAGAUGUCAAGUUUCUGCAGACCAACGAUUCAUCUGGAAGUGCUUUCCCUACUACUGAAGAGACCUUGAAUCACCUCUGCCAGAGUGUGAUUCUUCUCUUCAAUUUCUACAGUCCUUGUGUCAGCAAAAGUUGUUCCGGGAAUGCAUUGUGAAGAACAAGAUUUUAUCCUUUCAUCUGAUUAGAGUUUUCACUGCCUGAAAGCAUUGACAUUUCUUUAAAAUGUCAAAUGUGGUGAAUACAUGUUUCUGCUCCAGGGAACUUGAGCUGGAAUUUCUAUUUUGCAUACAUGUUUCUGCUCCGGGACUUCAUUUAUUUCUGUCCAAGUGAGAUAGUAAGAGAUUCCAUAAUCAGCUUGAUUUGCUUAUGUGGCUGCAGCUUUAUCUGAUGCAUGUUGAUUUGUUGCACCUUUGUGAAGCUGAAAGUGUAUCCUACCUGGAAGAGGUGGCCAGCAAAACAUCAACUCAGGAUGUGUCAAAGUCUGUUGGACUCAAGGUUCUUGCGUUGCUAAAAAAAUGUUUAAUGCUCCCUCUGAGGCAAGCUACCCGAAGGGGCAACUGGAACUUAAUGCAAUGCGCUUGGCAGAUGUCUUGUCAGAUGAUUCAAAUUUUCUGUUAUUCAUCAUGAUAAACUUUGUAAGCUUUCCAUCAGUACAACUAAUUUUAAAAUUUUAGAGUGCUAUGGAUUCCAUGCCAUGGUUUCUUUGCUAUUCAUGAUUGAAGGUCGAAAAGACUCGAAGCAUGACAUCUGAGUUUCUUAGAAAAUGUCUUUGCCUAUUUGAACACACCAAUGAUGUGCUUGAAGAGAUAUUUUGAUCAAAUUGCUGGUUUUAACAAAUGGAUGUUAAUUUUAUGAAAGUAACUUUUAAAUGAAAA